UACGGAGGGUGCUAACGUUGUCCGGAAUUACUGGGCGUAAAGCGCAUGUAGGUGGUCUCGCACGUCAGUGAUCAAAGACUGUCGCCUAACGACAGAAACGUUACUGAUACGACGAGGCUUGAGGAAGACAGGGGUACGCGGAACUUUCGGUGUAGGAGUGAAAUCCGUAGAUAUCGAAAGGAACACCAAUGGCGAAGGCAGCGUACUGGGUCUUACCUGACACUGAGAUGCGAAAGCGUGGGGAGCAAACGGG
rnacentral:rRNA from 1 species